rnacentral:rRNA from 1 species
CGCUCUUCCGAUCUGGAGCGGAACGGCAUGGGAGGGCCGGCCGCAGCGGGUGACAGCCCCGUACGCGAACCCAGACCGGACGGCGCGACGCGGUCCCUGAGUAGGGCCGGGCACGUGAAACCCGGUCCGAACCUGGGUGGACCACCAUCCAAGCCUGAGUACUACCCUGUGACCGAUAGCGCACCAGUACCGUGAGGGAAAGGUGAAAAGCACCCCGGGAGGGGAGUGAAACAGUACCUGAAACCGUGCGCCCACGAGCAGUCGGAGCACCUUUAUGGUGUGACGGCGUGCCUUUUGUAGAAUGAGCCAGCGAGUCGCUGGCGCGGGGCGAGGUUAACCGAAAGGGAGCCGGAGCGAAAGCGAGCCUUAACAGGGCGACUUGAGUCCCGCGCCGCGGACGCGAAGCCGGGUGAGCUAUCCGUGGGCAGGCUGAAGCGGGGGUAAGACCCCGUGGAGGGCCGAACGCACGUCGGUUGAAAACGGCGGCGAUGACCUGCGGAUAGGGGUGAAAGGCCAAUCAAACCCGGAGAUAUCUCGUUCUCCCCGAAAUAGCUUUAGGGCUAGCGUCGCGCGUUCACCGCCGGAGGUAGAGCACCGGAUGGACGAGGGGGCUUCGCCGCCUACCGAAUCCAACCGAACUCCGAAUGCCGGCGGCCCAGAGCGCGGCAGUCAGAGCAUGUGGGCUAAGCUGUGUGCUCGAGAGGGAAACAGCCCGGACCGCCCGCUAAGGUCCCCAAGUUCCAGCCGAGUGGCAAAGGAUGUGCGUCCGCCCAGACAACCAGGAUGUUGGCUUAGAAGCAGCCAUCCAUUCAAAGAGUGCGUAACAGCUCACUGGUCGAGUGGACAUGCGCCGACAAUACACGGGGCUAAGCUGGACACCGAAGCGGCGGGAUUUUAAUUCAUUAGAAUCGGUAGGGGAGCUUCCCAUGGGCGGAGAAGCCGGAGGGCGACCGACGGUGGAGCGCAUGGGAGUGAGAAUGCUGGCAUGAGUAGCGAGAGACGAGAGAGUAACUCGUCCGCCGUGAACCCGAGGUUUCCUGGGCAAGGCUAAUCCUCCCAGGGUCAGUCGGGGGCUAAGGCGAGGCCGGUAGGCGUAGCCGACGCGCAGCAGGCAGACAUUCCUGCACCGCGCACGCGGCGCUACGACCGACGGGGCGACGGAUGGGGGUGGCUCGGCGGGGUUCUGGACGUCCCCGUGAUGGAGCGCGGCCCGCGGACCAGGGAAAUCCGGUCCGCAGAAGGGCGAGGCUCCGGACGAAGCGACUGAGCGAAGCGAGUGAGCCCGAGGUCCCUAGAAAAACCCCUAGGCAGGCGCGUGCGCGCCCGUACCGCAAACCGACACAGGUGGGUGGGUAGAACAUACCGAGGCGAUCGGGUCAACCAUGGUCAAGGAACUCGGCACAAUGGCCCCGUAACUUCGGGAGAAGGGGUGCCCGCGCGUACGUGAACCGGCUUGCCCGGGGAGCGGAGGCGGGCCGCAGUGGAGAGGCCCAAGCGACUGUUUACCAAAAACACAGGACUCUGCAGAAGCCGCAAGGCGACGUAUAGGGUCUGACGCCUGCCCGGUGCCGGAAGGUCACGCGGAGGAGUUAGCCGAUUCGGCGAAGCCCCGAAGCCAAGCCCCGGUAAACGGCGGCCGUAACUAUAACGGUCCUAAGGUAGCGAAAUUCCUUGUCGGGU